GACGAACGCUGGCGGCGUGCUUAACACAUGCAAGUCGAACGGAAAGGCCCUGCUUUUGUGGGGUGCUCGAGUGGCGAACGGGUGAGUAACACGUGAGUAACCUGCCCUUGACUUUGGGAUAACUUCAGGAAACUGGGGCUAAUACCGGAUAGGAGCUCCUGCUGCAUGGUGGGGGUUGGAAAGUUUCGGCGGUUGGGGAUGGACUCGCGGCUUAUCAGCUUGUUGGUGGGGUAGUGGCUUACCAAGGCUUUGACGGGUAGCCGGCCUGAGAGGGUGACCGGCGUCAUUGGUACUGCGAGACGGCCCAGACGCCUACGGGAGGCAGCAGUGGAGAAUAUUGCACAAUGGGCGGAAGCCUGAUGCAGCAACGCCGCGUGCGGGAUGACGGCCUUCGGGUUGUAAACCGCUUUCUCCUGUGACGAAGCGUGAUUGACGGUAAUGGGUAAAGAAGCACCGGCUAACUACGUG
rnacentral:rRNA from 1 species